CGGUUAGAAAUAUAUGAAGAGAAAAGUUCCUGACAACUAUAUUUCCGAUAAAUGGGAAGAAAGAAAUUUUGUGUUCGUCAUCCAGUAGGCAGACUGGUUUGAAAUUUUCCAGAGAUUCAGGCUGUGGUAUGGACAGGAAGGGUUGGGAUAUCCUGCACCAUUGAUUCUGCUAGAAUGCUGCACUAGAAAGUGAUUUCACUACAACUGAACAGAUUCGCAGUUCCAUGUAGAUCAGAUUCUGCAGCACAAUCACUCCCACAACCUCCUUAUCAUUACACACCAUUCCAGGAGGGUGCUCCAGUAAAUACCUGGCAACAGCAGCGUUUAUUGAGGAGACUGACAAACUUUUUGAGAGUUUAAAUGGUGGAACGCCUUUUGACCCUAAGAAAACACUGUGGUACCCACUAAGCGAUAACAGUCCCAAUAUAGAGCACUGGGUAAAGGCAAGUAUGGGUUUAAACAGUUGGAUCAUCCUCAAGGAUGAUAAACCCGCCUUUCUUCAUCCUCCUUCGCAGAAUGGGUGGCUGAUUGACAUUACUGCUGCCCAGCAUUUGUGGAAGACAGUGAAAGAGGCUUACCACUACCUCACUUUUGCUGUUUGAAGCCAAUUGUGUUGUCAUUGGCCCAAAUUCUGCAACUUCUACAGUGAUUGCAUUUGGUCUAGAUGAUCACGUGGUUUGGUGAUUGGCCUUUCGUGACCCCUGUCAUCUGGAUUAUGACACUAUCUGCUAAUGGAGGCAGGUUUUGAACUGCUUUUGUAUAUUGCUAAGGUACAUUACGUCUCAGCUGAUUAGCCUGGAUAGCUACACUGUGUUCAGGCUAGUUGUCAUGUGCAGCAAUGAGCAGGC